rnacentral:rRNA from 1 species
UACGAAGGGGGCUAGCGUUGUUCGGAAUUACUGGGCGUAAAGCGCACGUAGGCGGGUUGUUAAGUCAGGGGUGAAAUCCCGGAGCUCAACUCCGGAACUGCCUUUGAUACUGGCAAUCUAGAGACUGGAAGAGGUUAGUGGAAUUCCCGGUGUAGCAGUGAAAUGCGUAGAGAUCGGGAGGAACACCGGUGGCGAAGGCGACUUCCUGGACACCAACUGACGCUGAGACGCGAAAGCGUGGGGAGCAAACAGG